rnacentral:rRNA from 1 species
CGGCAGCCCGAGUGGUGAUCACUAUUAUUGGGUCUAAAGGGUCCGUAGCCGGUUUAAUCAGUCUUCUGGGAAAUCUAAAUCGCUUAACUAUUAGGCUUCCAGGGGAUACUGUUAGACUUGGGACCGGGAGAGGUAAGAGGUACUGCAGGGGUAGGAGUGAAAUCUUGUAAUCCCUGUGAGACCACCAGUGGCGAAGGCGUCUUACCAGAACGGGUCCGACGGUGAGGGACGAAAGCUGGGGGCACGAACCGGAUUAGAUACCCGGGUAGUCCCAGCUGUAAACGAUGCUCGUUAGGUGUCAGGAACGGUGCGACUGUUUCUGGUGCCGAAGGGAAGCCGUGAAACGAGCCACCUGGGAAGUACGGCCGCAAGGCUGAAACUUAAAGGAAUUGGCGGGGGAGCACUACAACGGGUGGAGCCUGCGGUUUAAUUGGACUCAACGCCGGAAAACUCACCGGGGGCGACAGCAAUAUGUAGGUCAGGUUAAAGGUCUUACCUGAAUCGCUGAGAGGAGGUGCAUGGCCGUCGUCAGUUCGUACUGUGAAGCAUCCUGUUAAGUCAGGCAACGAGCAAGACCCGUGCCCACUGUUACCAGCAUAUCCUUUAUGGAUGAUGGGGACUCUGUGGGGACCGCUGCUGCUAAAGCAGAGGAAGGUGCGGGCUACGGUAGGUCAGUAUGCCCCGAAUCUCCCGGGCUACACGCGGGCUACAAUGGUUGGGACAAUGGGUAUCUACUCCGAAAGGAGUUGGCAAUCUCUUAAACCCAAUCGUAGUUCGAAUUGAGGGCUGUAACUCGCCCUCAUGAAGCUGGAAUCCGUAGUAAUCGCGUUUCAACAUAGCGCGGU